ensembl:lncRNA
CCUCUGUCUUUACCCACUUUAUCCCUCCCUCCUCCGAAGGGGUCAAUAGAAUAGUUACGUCCAACCUCGCCACCACCUACCCCUUGACCCUACCCCUUCCUCACUGCUCCAGGCCGUCUCGAGAGACAUCCUAGCAAUUCCCUCCUCCCUUAUCAACUCCUCCCUCACUUCAGGCAUUGUUCCAGCGUCUUUCCAUUCUGCCACAAUAAAGCCUCUCAAGAAGCCGACCCUUGACACCACCGACAACCAGAAGUUCAGCAGCGUUCGACACCGUGAACCACCAGAUCCUUCUCACCACUUUCGCCGAACUUUGCAUUGCUGAAUUUGCACUAUGCUGGUUCACAUCCGAAUCGCACCUAUCAGGUAACAUGGAAUGGCUCCUUGUCCAAACCCUGCACGCUUUAACACGGCUUCUCAUCUCCCUCUAUAUCACAUCUCUGGGCUCUGUAAUUACAUCAUACGACUUUUCCUAUCACUGCUACAUUGACAACACUCAGCUAUUCCACUCUUUCCCCUGCUCUGAUGAAACCCUGAUUGCAAAAUGCAUAUCAGAAUUUCUAGCAGACGUCAACACUCUGACAACUGCCCAUCAAAUGAGGCUUAACCUCAACAAGACUGAGCUCCUCCUAAUGCCAGGGAAAGAUUGCCCACAUAUGGACAUACUGGUCACUGUCGAGAACAUCACUGUAUCUCCUUGUCCACCUGCUAGAAACCUCGGUGAGGUACUGGACAAUCAGUUAUACUGCACCGCAAACAUCACCACGGUUGCCUGAUCCUGCAUAUUUGCACUUAACAACAUCUGCAGGACCUGGCCCUUCCUCACAAGUUCCAGCGUAUCCACACACGUAUGGUCAGACCACACACGCCUGCGCGAGCGCUCCGAUGAACCUCAGCUGGACGUCUGGUACCGCCAUCGCUAAUCGCUAAUCGCCAUCGCUAAUAGCAGACAAAGGUCGAUCAGCGAAGACACAACUCUUCUCUGUUUUGGCACCGCAGUGGUGGAACGAGCUCCCUGCCAACGUCAUCACCGCAGAGUCGCUCACCAGCUUCCGCAAAAGACUCAAAACUCACCUGUUCAGAGUUCACCUAGACUCUGCAUAGUCAUCCAGUCCCCCCCUCCCACUAUUGUAUGUUGUACGUCCUCGCACUUAAUGUAUGCACUUAAUGUACGUUGUAUUAUUCAUAGUACUACCGGUAAAUGUGUAGCAUCGGCAGUAGCUAGCUAUCACUGCUGUAUAUGUGAAAUGGGUCAGCCUAGCGAUUGUUAGUACUAGGUUCUAUGAACAUCCUUACUAUACCGACAGAGAUAUAUUGUUGUUUCACUUCUUAUGACAAAUUGUAAGGCUCUUUCGAUAAAAGCGUCUGCUAAAUGUAAAUGUUAAUUUAAUGCUCCAAAGGGUCGCCGAGGAUGAGGAGAUCCGCCCUGACCCAAAUUUAUAGAACUCAAGAAACAAAGAAAAGGGAAUCCUAGCAGAAAGACUUUGGCCUCUACAGAUCAGGGCCCGGUUUCCCGAUUCCCGGUUUCCGCGCUACAAAAACUCCUACAUUUAGACUUAUCAAAGCUGUUUACCUCGAUGGGCGUGGUUCCUGAAUGGUCUCUUAGGAGUUUUCUUAAGAAACACUCCUUACGUUGUUCGUAAACGGCGCUGUCCAGAAAGAAUGUGCUGAAAUCAAUUGCUCAGACAUCAAUUUUCCAUUUCAUGCGCAGGUACAUGACAGUGUCCUAAAAGAUAUGUCAGUCUUUGCAAAUACAACAUAAUUGCUCAAAAUCCUUCUUGUAGGCCAUGGGCAAACAUAGCAUAGCCUACACUGAUUUAAAAAAUAUAUAGAAAAAUUUACAAUUUGAAAUGAAAGCUAAAUUUUUAAUCGUUUAUUUAGCUUAUUAUAUAAUACUGUUGUAUGCUGAGACUGCUUUGCUUUUUGUUACCUGUAGUGGUCUGUGUGGGGUUUUGCUAAAUGUAAAGGGAAAGAGGCGGUGGUUGAAAAAAGUAUUUUGACCCCUUAUUACAUUCACUUGUUCCUUAUAAUGGUUUAUUUAUUACCCAGUAUAAUUUCCUUAAUUUAGAAGACAGUUUGGUUCAUUUUUGAUUUAUAAAAUGAAUACAAUAUUUUUUUGAAGUUGCGUGUUUUUGAAAUUAUUGGAAGCAAGUGGAGCUGACUGCGCCUUGCUGUACUCACGGCGAAACAAAGAACAACGAGACAACAUCCUUAUUAAAAUAAGUUGUUUAAUUUGGCCCCAAUUGGCUACGGAUGCGAACUGUUUCCCGGAACCUUCUUAAAGCCUUCUUAACGCUACAUCAUUCGUAACCUCUUCUUUAAGUUCUUCACUUGUUUCCCGAAACGUUCUUUGCUACGAAUCUCUUUCGUACGUCGUUUGUUGAUAAGGUUGGUCUGAAGCGCUCACAGAACCUGGUCAGCUGUACCGUAGUGAUGGUUCAGCUCCAGACGCUAGCCUGGUUAGGUGGGUCUGAAGCGCUCACAGAACCUGGUCAGCUGUACCGUAGUGAUGGUUCAGCUCCAGACGCUAGCCUGGUUAGGUGGGUCUGAAGCGCUCACAGAACCUGGUCAGCUGUACCGUAGUGAUGGUUCAGCUCCAGACGCUAGCCUGGUUGGGUGGGUCUGAAGCGCUCACAGAACCUGGUCAGCUCUACCAUAGUGAUGGUUCAGCUCCAGACGCUAGCCUGGUUAGGUUGGUCUGAAACGCUCACAGAACCUGGUCAGCUGUACCGUAGUGAUGGUUCAGCUCCAGACGCUAGCCUGGUUAGGUGGGUCUGAAGCGCUCACAGAACCUGGUCAGCUCUACCAUAGUGAUGGUUCAGCUCCAGACGCUAGCCUGGUUAGGUGGGUCUGAAGCGCUCACAGAACCUGGUCAGCUGUACCGUAGUGAUGGUUCAGCUCCAGACGCUAGUCUGGUUAGGUGGGUCUGAAGCGCUCACAGAACCAGGUCAGCUCUACCAUAGUGAUGGUUCAGCUCCAGACGCUAGUUGCCGCAGCUGUACCUUUAGAGUCCCCGUAGCGCACGGAGCUGACACAUUGACGUGUUGUGUUUCACCAAUGGUUUUACGUCAUUCAUGAAGAGAAUAAUUGCUGGAAACAAAAUAUUAUGUGCAUGCAUUUCAAGGCUAAGCUUUAGCGGCCUAUUCAACAUCAAAAGUAGCCCAGGUGUAUUAUCAUGUCAUUUAAUUAGCCCAUUUAGGCCUAGUCAAUGUCAAGGCAUGCACAAUUCUGCAAGCAAUUUGUGAAAUUUGAAAAUUGACGAACAAUUAGGCUCUGAGUGGCUACGAUUUCAUGAAUGGACGCCGGUGACGGUUGUGAAUGGUGGCAGCGUAACAACGCAUCCUUGUGCUGAAUCAACGACGUCGCCGUCCUCGGAGUCGUUUAGUUCAAGUAAAUCAUUUGAUAAGGCUAAAAUUUUGGCAUAUUGAUAUCGUAACAGACACGGCUAUAUUGUAAAAGUUUUGCCUAUAAUAGCAACAAAUACGGCAAUUGAUUAAUUUGAUUGGGCCUACGCUUGCAAGACCAACGUGUCAGAACUUGUCACUGACUCCUGGCAGCGCUGCGUUCUUCCGCAGUAGGGAGCAUGAUAUAAGAUAUGGCCUUGGGCUAAGUAAGGCUUCUGUGUGGAGAUGUGUCCAUGUGGUCACAAACGCCCUUUUCCGCCACACCAGGGAUUUCAGGUGGUGGUCGACCACAGAGGGCUCAUCCUCGACCUGGUGGCGAGGUGGCCUGGCAGCACCCGUGAUAGGGUUAGGGUUAGCUUUGUCUGGGCCCGUUCCGCGGGGGGCGAGGAGGUGGACAGGUGGGUUUGGCCAGAGUGUAGUCCUUUGGGACAGUGGCUCCCCCCUCCGAACCUACUUUAUGACCCCUGUUACCAUUCCGCGAAACAUUCUAAUGCCCCGCAUAUACAAACCCGCCUAAUUGUUGAGCGGACAAUUGGUAGACCUGGUAGACCCGCCCAUUCUGCCGGCGAUUUGAGUUUGCCCUGCAGAAGGGUCUUGAGAAGAGCAAUACAUUUCUUUCCAGUUUCUAUACGUUUUUGCGGGAGACAAUCACCAAGUUGGCUUUUCCCCCUGGCGUGCUAUUGGCGAGUUUAACACAAUGUCGACAGGGAAGCGACGGCAAGCAGCCAACUGCAUACAGUCAUUUGAACUUGAUCUUGAGACCAAGCUCAAGAUUGAGCUUGGUCUGGGGAAGCUGCUGUCAUUUUCUUCAGCACAAGAGGCGUGAUCAAUGGGCCUAGUUCGCAGUUGGCUGUUUGCCGUCGCUUAGUCGCUUGUCUAGCCAGGCUAGACACCUGGUCUAUGGAAGCUGCGCUUUCGGUGCCUUAACAGGUCCACAGGGACAGUGCAUGAAGCGCAGUAAUGGUGGUGACCGCCAUGCUCCACAACAUGGCAGUUCGAGGAGGACGAUGAGGAAGGGGAAGAGGAAAUUGGUGUCCCCAGGCCUCCCCGGCCGCACUAGGCGCUGCCGGGGUUGCUGCAAGCCAUUUAAGGAUUGCAAAUGUUUUUGUUUUAGGCUACUCUCAUAGUAGAUGUUAACCAUUGGCACACUAGACUGAAAUACAUCAGUAAUUUAUUGAGUUUGCUGGUCACUCAGCUCUGAUUGCAAAGCAGUUAGACACUAUUAAAAAACAUACGGUAUGCUACAACAUUUUGUCCAAGUAGCCUAGGUGUUUGAACAGUUAAUGGAAGGAAGUGAUGGGUGGCGUAGCAGGAUAGACAUGCAGGAUGGCAGGAUAGGCCAAGUUGCUUAAUUGUUCAUUCCAAGUUUGCAUCCGUAGCCAAUCGAGGCCAAAUGAAGCAGCAUGUUUGAAUUCAGGAUGUUGUCAUGGCUGCUCUUUGAUUGGGCCCUGGGUACAGUACGGAGAGGUCAGCUGCUCUUUGAUUGGGCGGUGGGUACAGUAAGGAGAGGUCAGCUGCUCUUUGAUUGGGCGGUGGGUACAGUACGGAGAGGUCAGCUGCUCUUUGAUUGGGCGGUGGGUACAGUAAGGAGAGGUCAGCUGCUCCUUGAUUGGGCGGUGGGUACAGUAAGGAGAGGUCAGCUGCUCUUUGAUUGGGCGGUGGGUACAGUACGGAGAGGUCAGCUGCUCUUUGAUUGGGCGGUGGGUACAGUAAGGAGAGGUCAGCUGCUCUUUGGGUUAGCUCAAGCAGGGGGCCCCAGACUUCCCUUUCCCGGGCCACAUUGACCAGCUCUGACGGGGGGAUCCUGAGGCAUUCCCAGGCCAGUGUUGAGAUAUAAUCUCUCCACCUAGUCCUGGGUCUUCCCCGAGGUCUCCUCCCCACUGGACGUGCCUGAAACACCUCCCAAGGGAGGCGCCCAGUGGGCAUCCUUACCAGAUGCCCGAACCACCUCAGCUGACUCCUUUCUAAGUAAAGGAGCAGCGGCUCUAAUCCGAGUUCCUCACGGAUGGCUGAGCUUCUCACCCUAUCCCUAAGGGAGACGCCCUUCUGAGAAAACUCAUCUUGGCCGCUUGUACCCGCAAUCUCGUCACAUCUCAUCACCCAACCCUCAUGACCAUAGCUGAGGAUAGGAACGAAGAUCGACCGGUAGAUCGAGAGCUUUGCCUUGCGGCUCAGCUCUCUUUUCAUAACAACGGUGAGGUAAAGCGAACGCAAUACCGCCCCCGCUGCUCCGAUUCUCCUGCCAAUCUCACGCUCCUUCGUACCCUCACUCGCGAACAAGACCCCGAGUUACUUGAACUCCUUCACUUGGGCUAAGGACUCAUUUCCUACCCGGAGUAAGCAAUCCACCGGUCAUGGCCUCAGAUCCUCAUCCCAGCCGCUUCACACUCGGCCGCCAGCCGAUCCAGUGAGUGCUGAAGGUCACAGGCCGAUGAUCCAAUGAGGACCGAAUCACCUGCAAAAAGCAGUGACGAGAUCCUCAGACCACCGAACUGCAACCCCUCCCCACCACGACUACGCCUCGAUAUCCUGUCCAUGUAUAUCACAAACAGGAUUGGUGACAAGGCGCAGCCCUGGCGGAGACCAACACCCACUGAGAACGAAACUGACUGGCUGCCGAGGACGCGAACACAGCUCUCGCUUUGGGAGUACAAAGAUUGGAUGGCCCUGAGGAUAGACCCCCUUACCCCAUACUCCCGCAGCACCUCCCACAGUUUCUCCUGGGGGAUCCGGUCAUACGCCUUCUCCACAUCCACAAAACACAUGUAGACCGGAUGGGCAUACUCCCAGGAGUGAAGAGCUGGUCCGUAGUUCCACGUCCGGGGUGAAAACCGCAUUGUUCCUCUUCAAUCUGAGGUUCUCCGUACAUAAUAAAUAUAUAUAAAUAUGUAUGUAUAUACAUACAUAUAUUAUAUAUAUAUAUAUAUAUAUAUAUAUAUAUAUAUAUAUAUAUAUAUAUAUAUAUAUAUAUAUUUAUAUUUAUUUAUGUAUUAUAAACAGAGACCACCAAACCUCCUGGAAGAAACAAAAUAAAUGAAUAAAUAAUUAUAUAUAUAUAUUGUUGGAGCCAUUUCUGCUGUUUAUGAUUUAUUUGUGAUCUUGAUAUUGUUUGGUAAUUUCUGUUAUUUUGGAAUAUUGUAAGUAUCGCGAUCUAGACUCUGAUGUGAUGUUUGGUGUAGCCUGUGUCACGGGGUGCUUAGUGUUGGGCACCGAUUGGGUGUCUAAGCCCCGCCCUUUUUGGUGAUUCACCUUUACUUACAGGUAACAGGUGGUGGGUUGUUUGAAUGAGUUGGCGGGUGUAGAAGGACACAGUUUUUGACCGUGGUCUAUGUCGUGUUUGUUGCAAACCCUAAGUUGUGUACAAUAAAAGCUGAAACUCGAAAUACUGAACUCGCGUACUGAACAUCCAUCUACCCUCGUCAAAGUGGAUCCAUGCGAAAUCGCGCUGGAUGCCACAACAUAUAUAUAUAUAUUUAUAUUUAUAUUUAUAAAUAAAUAUGGUCUGCUGCAAAUUUUCGGGUACCGGGCCCAAUAUUUGUCUUUCCAUUUGUGAUGCAAAAACAACACAAAGGUUAUUCCUCUACACACGCGCACCCACACACGCACAUAGCACACACACGCAGCGUGUAUAAAGUCCUGUCUGGUCGCUAGGAUCCACAUCUACAGACCACAGGAGCUCAGGUACGUACCUUAAUACGUGAUACAUGAGAAUCCAUCACAUAUGUCCUCCUCACAGUGUUUGUGUGUGUGUGUGUGUGUGUGUGUAGGUCUCUCAACAUGCAGCUGAUAAUCUCCAUGUUCGUUGCUGCCAUAUUGCUCCAUGAAGUUGAAGGUUGUCCUCUAGACUCCGACCUCGUGGAGCUGACUCCCAUCAAGCCACUCAACCUCACGGCCUUCACGCUGUGCCUGAGCUUCGCCACGGAGCAGUUUGAAGGAACGAACGAGGUCAUCCUCUUCGACUACUACAAGGAUCAACCCAACGAGCUCAACGUGUGGCGGGAGACGGACGGCAGGUUGAAGCUCAGCAUAAGCGGACUGGACGGCUUACUUUAAAGUUCCUGAGCUGGGACCCCUGGAGAACCAGGUAUGUGUGGCCUGGGAGUCGGUGACGGGCCGGACCACCAUGUACCUCAACGGCCGGAGCGCUGCGUCCCAGAUCCUCCGGCAGGGCUACAGGGUGCAGCCGGGGGGCCGGGUUGUCCUGGGCGAGUACCAGGGCCCCACCACCAAGACCAUCGUAACCUGGAAGAACUUUGUGGGGGAGUUCUUCGAGGUGUACAUGUGGGACCGCGUUCUGCCUCGAGACGCAGUUCAGAAGCUGUCCACCGGGAAGGAUUUCUCAGAUGCCAACGUCCUUAACUGGGCGACGGGGAGACUAAUAACCAGAACCUGCCGGCAUCCUGAAAUUGAUUACGAUAUUCCCUCCCUGCUUUCUCACUAAGUUCACCAAUAAACCAACCCGCAUUAUGAGGUUGAUUACUAAUAAACCAACCCCGCAUAAUGAGGUUGAUUACUAAUAAACCAACCCUGCAUUAUGAGGUUGAUUACUAAUAAACCAACCCUGCAACAUGAGGUUGAUUACUAAUAAAUGAACCCUGCAUCGUGACGUUGAUUACUCAUAAAGCAACCCUGCAUCAUGACGUUGAUUACUCAUGAAGCCACCCUAGUCUCAACGCUCUUAGGCCGAUCGUGUUUGAAAUACAUCGGGGCGACGACAGACGGGCAGUAGGGUCUACAAACCGACCAAUAACAAUUCGGGGAUCUGAUUGCUGGAGGCGGAGUCUAACCCUCUGGAGGCGAGGCGAUACUGACC